UACGGGGGGGAGCAAGCGUUGUUCGGAUUUACUGGGCGUAAAGGGCGCGUAGGCGGUCAGCACAAGUCAGUUGUGAAAUCUCCGGGCUUAACCCGGAAAGGUCAACUGAUACUGUGCGACUAGAGUGCGGAAGGGGCAACUGGAAUUCUCGGUGUAGCGGUGAAAUGCGUAGAUAUCGAGAGGAACACCUGCGGCGAAGGCGGGUUGCUGGGCUGAUACUGACGCUGAGGCGCGAAAGCUAGGGGAGCAAACGGG
rnacentral:rRNA from 1 species